rnacentral:misc_RNA from 1 species
GAUGUAGAACGUAGCGAAAUGCGAUAAGUAAUGUGAAUUGCAGAAUUCAGUGAAUCAUCGAAUCUUUGAACGCACAUUGCGCCCGCGAGUAUUCUCGCGGGCAUGCCUGUCCGAGCGUCAUUUCAACCCUCAGGGCCCGCCUGCUUCGGCAGGCGCGGCGCUGGUGUUGGGGAUCGGCCUAACCGCCGUCCCCCAAAUACAGUGGCGGUCUCGCUGCAGCCUCCCCUGCGUAGUAGCAACACUCGCAUGCGGAGCGCGGCGCGGCCACGCCGUAAAACCCCCGACUUUCUGAACGUUGACCUCGGAUCAGGUAGGAAUACCCGCUGAACUUAAGCAUAUCAAUAAGCGGAGGA